CUGGGGCCGUAGGUGCCGUGGGGGGACUACGGUUAGCGAGAGCUUCGGGGCCGCUGGAUGUGCGCGCACGGGGAACAGGACCGUCUGUGGAUGGCUUCGGCGUCGGCAAGGAUCUUGGGCAUGCCAAAUGGCCUUGGGCCCAUUGUGGGGAACGGGGUGACUCCGGACGUCGUGGGAGGUAGAUCGGCGCUGUGAGUGGUGGAUCGAUGCCGUAAGAGAUGGUCGGCACCGUCGGGUGCACAGGAGGUGCGCGGGAAGCUCCAUCGGUCGGGACUACCUCACCGGGCAUACAGGAGGAACAGGGGAUGCUUCGGCUUCGACAACAGCAGAGGAUGCGAUGCACGUGCAGGGGAGACCUUGGGAUCGCUUGUGGGCGACUUCGGCUCCGCUGGGAGCAACCUCAGUGCGGGAGAGCUUCGAAGUCACGAGCAGGGAGCUCGGAUGGUUGGAGCUGGGAGAGACCAGUUGUUAUAGCCCAAGCCCAACAAAUCUCAGCCCAUCAAAGUCCAAAAAAAAAAAA
rnacentral:lncRNA from 1 species